rnacentral:rRNA from 1 species
GACGAACGCUGGCGGCGUGCUUAACACAUGCAAGUCGAACGGAAAGGCCCUGCUUUUGUGCGGUGCUCGAGUUGCGAACGGGUGAGUAACACGUGAGUAACCUGCCCCUGACUUAGGGAUAACUUCAUGAAACUGGGGCUAAUACCGGAUAGGAGCUCCUGCUUCAUGGUGGGGGUUGGAAAGUUUCGGCGGUUGGUCAUGUACUCGCGGCUUAUCAGCUUGUUGGUGGGGUAGUGGCUUACCAAGGCUUUGACCGGUAGCAGGCCUGAGAGGGUGACCGGACACAUUGGGCCUGAGAUACGGCCCAGACUCCUCCGGGAGGCAGGAGUGGGGAAUAUAGCACAAUGGGCGGAAGCCUGAUGCAGCACAGCCGCGUGCGGGAUGACGGCCUUCGGGUUGUAAACCGCUUUCGCCUGUCACGAAGCGUGAGUGACGGUACCGGGUAAAGAAGCACCGGCUAACUACGUG